rnacentral:rRNA from 1 species
CUGAAGAGUUUGAUCAUGGCUCAGAUUGAACGCUGGCGGCAGGCCUAAGACAUGCAAGUCGAACGGUAACGACACUAGCUUGCUAGUGGUCGACGAGUGGCGGACGGGUGAGUAACGCGUAGGAAUCUACCUAGUAGUGGGGGAUAGCCAAGGGAAACUUUGGGUAAUACCGCAUACGAUCUAAGGAUGAAAGGGGGCCUCUCUUUGAAGCUCUCGCUAUUAGAUGAGCCUGCGUAAGAUUAGCUUGUUGGUGGGGUAAUGGCCCACCAAGGCGACGAUCUUUAGCUGGUCUGAGAGGAUGAUCAGCCACACCGGGACUGAGACACGGCCCGGACUCCUACGGGAGGCAGCAGUCGGGAAUAUUGCGCAAUGGGGGAAACCCUGACGCAGCCAUGCCGCGUGUGUGAAGAAGGCCCUAGGGUUGUAAAGCACUUUUAGUAGUGAGGAAGGCUCAGUAGUUAAUACCUACUGGGAUUGACGUUAGCUACAGAAAAAGCACCGGCUAAUUUCGUGCCAGCAGCCGCGGUAAUACGAAAGGUGCAAGCGUUAAUCGGAAUUACUGGGCGUAAAGCGCGCGUAGGCGGACUGGAAAGUUGGGGGUGAAAUCCCAGGGCUCAACCCUGGAACUGCCUCCAAAACUAUCAGUCUAGAGUUCGAGAGAGGUGAGUGGAAUUCCGAGUGUAGAGGUGAAAUUCGUAGAUAUUCGGAGGAACACCAGUGGCGAAGGCGGCUCACUGGCUCGAUACUGACGCUGAGGUGCGAAAGUGUGGGGAGCAAACAGGAUUAGAUACCCUGGUAGUCCACACCGUAAACGAUGAAUGCCAGUCGUCGGGUAGCAUGCUAUUCGGUGACACACCUAACGGAUUAAGCAUUCCGCCUGGGGAGUACGGUCGCAAGAUUAAAACUCAAAGAAAUUGACGGGGGCCCGCACAAGCGGUGGAGCAUGUGGUUUAAUUCGAUGAUACGCGAGGAACCUUACCAGGGCUUAAAUGUAGUAUGACCGGCUUGGAAACAGGCCUUCUCUUCGGAGCAGAUUACAAGGUGCUGCAUGGUUGUCGUCAGCUCGUGCCGUGAGGUGUUAGGUUAAGUCCUGCAACGAGCGCAACCCCUAUUCUUAGUUGCCAGCGGUUCGGCCGGGGACUCUAAGAAGACUGCCAGCGCAAGCUGAGAGGAAGGUGGGGAUGACGUCAAAUCAUCACGGCCCUUACGUCCUGGGCUACACACGUGCUACAAUGGUAGGGACAGAGAGCAGCCACUGGGCGACCAGGAGCAAAUCUAUAAACCCUAUCACAGUUCGGAUCGGAGUCUGCAACUCGACU